UACGUAGGGUGCGAGCGUUGUCCGGAUUUAUUGGGCGUAAAGAGCGUGUAGGCGGCUUGGCAAGUCCGCUGUGAAAACUCGAGGCUUAACCUCGAGACGUCGGUGGAAACUGCCUGGCUAGAGUCCGGAAGAGGAGAGUGGAAUUCCUGGUGUAGCGGUGAAAUGCGCAGAUAUCAGGAAGAACACCCGUGGCUAAGGCGGCUCUCUAGUACGGUACUGACGCUGAGACGCGAAAGCGUGGGGAGCGAACAGG
rnacentral:rRNA from 1 species